ensembl:misc_RNA Metazoa_SRP Metazoan signal recognition particle RNA
GCAGGACACCAUAGUGUGCACCUGUAGUCCCAGCUACUUGGGAGGCAGGAGGAUCACUUGAGUCCAGGAAUUCGAGGCCAUAAUGUGCUAUGCUGUCAGGUGUCUGCACUAAGUUUCGCAUCAGUAUGGUAACCCCCAGGUGCGGAGUGGGGGGCACCACCAGGUUGCCUAUGGAGGGGUGAACCAGCCCAGGUUGCAAAUGGUGCAGGUUAAAACUCCACACUGAUCAGUAAUGGGAUUGAGCCUGUGAAUAGCCACUGCACUCCGGAAUGGACAACAUAGUGAGACCCCAUCU